AGUUAGGAAAUGCAGGUGCGUUAAUAGCGCACUUGCUUGACUAAGGCUCCAGAGGAAGCCACGGCUAACUCUGUGCCAGCAGCCGCGGUAAUACAGAGGCGGCAAGCGUUGUUCGAAAUUAUUGGGCGUAAAGAGCACGUAGGCGGCCUUGCAAGUCAGUUGUGAAAGCCUUCCGCUUAACGGAAGAACGGCAUCUGAUACUACAGGGCUUGAGUACGGGAGGGGAGAGUGGAACUUCUGGU
rnacentral:rRNA from 1 species